CGCGGGGUAGAGCAGCUCGGUAGCUCGUCGGGCUCAUAACCCGGAGGCCGCAGGUUCAAAUCCUGUCCCCGCAACCA
rnacentral:tRNA from 1 species